AACGAACGCUGGCGGCAUGCCUAACACAUGCAAGUCGAACGAGACCUUCGGGUCUAGUGGCGCACGGGUGCGUAACGCGUGAGAACCUGCCCUUAGGUUCGGAAUAACUCCCCGAAAGGGGUGCUAAUACCGGAUAAUGUCUUCGGACCAAAGAUUUAUCGCCUUUGGAUGGGCCCGCGUUGGAUUAGCUAGUUGGUAGGGUAAAAGCCUACCAAGGCGACGAUCCAUAGCUGGUCUGAGAGGAUGAUCAGCCACACUGGGACUGAGACACGGCCCAGACUCCUACGGGAAGCAGCAGUGGGGAAUAUUGGACAAUGGGCGAAAGCCUGAUCCAGCAAUGCCGCGUGAGUGAUGAAGGCCUUAGGGUUGUAAAGCUCUUUUACCCGGGAUGAUAAUGACAGUACCGGGAGAAUAAGCUCCGGCUAACUCCGUG
rnacentral:rRNA from 1 species